UACUCGUUACAUAACACAUCCUGUUGCCGAUCUUCUACUGGGUAUGCUCUAAAUGGUAAAUACCACUAGGAGAGGCAGACAGGAAGGGGCGGAGCGCCCGCCGGCCCAGCACCGCACCCGAGCUAGCGACCGCUGCGGGAGGCGCGAGUUAGCCCGGCGGCCGCUUUGCUAUCCCGGCCCUUUGAUCCUGGCCGUUGCUCCGGGGCCGGCAGAGACUACGAUGAACCUCGGUUCCAGGCGCUGGGCAGGCAGCGAUAUUGGGUCCAUGGCUCCAGCGAUGACUCCGGUGGCGGCUCCGUUGUCCCUGGCUGUCAAGGCCCCAAACCCGGCAGCAGCCCCCACCUCCUAUGGGGUCUUCUGCAAGGGGCUCUCUCGCACCCUGCUCGCCUUCUUCGAGCUGGCCUGGCAGCUUCGGAUGAACUUCCCGUAUUUCUACAUCGCAGGCUCGGUGAUCCUCAACAUCCGCUUGCAGGUACACAUUUAGAAAAGUGACUAAGCUGCCGGCCUUGGGCGGCUAGCAUGAUGGCCGACUCCCAGGCAUUCCCGGGACUUAGUGAACCUGCGAGCGAGGAGCUCGGAGAUCUCGCGAGGGGGCCCGGACGCACUCCGCGCCUGCGCUCUGCGCUCCUAGCGCUCCCAGCGCUCCCUGGACCGUGGCGGGACCCCUGCUAGGACCAAAAAGAGGCCUUAGGGGAGUCCGGGAAUUGAGACCUUCAGCUAAAACCAAAAAAAAAAAAAAUCAGAAACUUUGUAUUCUUAAACUCCGAUCGAAUUCCAGGAUAUAACAGAAGGACACAGAAUAUAUCAUUAAAAAGGAAGACCGAAUUUUUCAGGAAAAAAAAAAAUUGUGCAACAAAUUCAUGGCCUGAGUGAAAAUUAAGAAAUCAGUAAACUUAGGGAAUACCGGUGUGGAUUGUUAGCAAGACGCUGAAGAAAAAGCCGAUGGUAUUAAGGAUAUGAAAUGGAAGGCAUAUGUUUUUUCAUCCCACGUGAAGGACGAAGCAAAACUGUACAGGAAAAACAUCCUCCAAACACUAAAUGUGAAAUGCUGCACGAUUUUGAACAAAUGGUAGAAGCGUGAGAAAAUGCAUUCUGCUUUAACUUCCUGUGAGCAGCAUUGGGAUCACGAUCUUUGCAAAAAGGAAAUCCAAACAGCAUAAAACUUGGCUAUUCAUUGAAUAAUAUUUUACCAUCAUAAUGCAAAUUCUAUGUGUGGUUUUUUUCCCCUUCUAAGGAAAUAUUUAAUUAUGGUUACAGAAUAGAAUGUGAAAGUCAUUAGUCUUGAUGUAAAAAUACAAAUGGGAAUGUUGUAGGAGGGAGGAAAACGUAAUUGGAAUGGUUACAUGUUCUAAUAAAGUGAAGAGUUGAGAGACACAGUCUGUUGUGAAGGGAAAAGAAGAUAUUUUGUUACUGACAAGGUAGCCAUGGUUUCUAAACUAGAAAUAUAACUAUUAAAGUGGGAAGGUGGGAGGUGAGAACACCAUGAAGUCAACAGGAAAUCCUGAAGAUGGAGAGUUCAGGUAGGACUCCUCAAAAAGAAAAAUUGAUAAGAGUACCUGGUGUAUUUGAAUGUAGACUAGGAAUUUUUCAAAGAGGCUGGGGUGAAUUAUUAGUCUGCAGCCUUUUCAAAAUUCAGAAAACAAAACUAAUAAAUCCAAGGAAAAAUGAAAAGUUAUAAAAAAAUAUAUUGCAACUGAAUAUUAGUCAUGUAAAUUCACUUAUAGAUAUUGACUACUAGUUUAGCAAAUGAUUAUAUAGCAUUUGAGAAAAUGGAAGAGGAGAGAGACAUAAUUGUGAAAAGUCAAAUCAAGAUUAAUAUGGGGGUGGAGGUGAGUGCUUCCCUAGCAUCCACCAGGACUGGAUUCAGUCUGUGUGUGUGUAUGUGUGUGUGUGUAUACCCAUAUAUGUAUAUCCAGAAAAAGUGAUACAAACAUGUUUUUCAGAAAUAUCUGCAGUAAGAAACAGGUUACAAGCUGUUGUCUCUGGAAGAAGGAAAUAAAGGGUAGGUCAUAAAAAGGCCAAGUUUUGCUUUUUUUUUCACUACCAGUUUAAUAGUAUUAUUUGAUUUCUUUUAACUAUGUGUAAGCUUUUGUUUAAUUGAAAACUUACUUAAAUACAUUUCCUUUUUAAAAGUUCCCUAGGCAAUUUAAAUAUAUACCACUGGUUAAAAGUCACAAGAGUAGAAUGGGACUGGGCUGCUCAAUCAGGCAAACUUCUUCAAAUAUUCAUAUUCUGUAGUUUUGUGGUGAGAGAUAGAUCCAUUAAUCUUCCUAAACCUAUUUCCUCAUCUGUAAAUGAGGGUAAUACCCCCACCUUGAAAGUUAGUCUAAGAACUAGAAGUAAACCUGCCCUAGUUCUUCAUAUAUCCAUAAUAAACAAUAUUUCUUAUAAUAAUACCACGUUAGAAAGUGAAUAAGAUGUAAAAGGACAUAUAGAAAGAUGCUUUUCCAAAAGAAGUUUUAAGUUCUAAAGAAGGUGACAAGUAGGGUGGUGAUCAUAGAAGGAUGGAAAAGAUGCUCUAGAAUGAUCCUAGCUGAGAUAUUUGCACACAAGGGGGCCAUGUUUGCCUGAGUAAAGAUUUAAAUGCUGGCACUGUUCUAUAUUCUGGUUGUGUCUGUCAAACAAUAGUCUUAAAAUAAGAGGAGUCCUGCCCCUGCCUCACCUUACCUGGCUUUGGGCUCUUCCUACUCUAUUCCUUUUCUGCAGCCAAACUUAUCAAGUAUAUCUUCCUCUUCUAUCUGCUUUUUUGCCCAUAGAUGUUCUUCCUGUUUUAAGGACAAGUUUAGGUAAUACUUUUUCCAUUAUUUUUUCCCAAAUUCCCCUGAACAGAUUGGGGCUUACAAUUUCUAAUCCAUCUAAGAUCUGUUAAUAUCAAUGCUGUUUUUAUAGGCUUCCCACAUUUUCCUAAUAGUAAGUUAAUUAUCGGGUUUUCUUUUUGUUUCAUAUAUUCCAAGAACACAGAUUUCUUGGAUGACUAAAGAGCCAAAACAUUUUAGUCUAAAAUAUUAUAAGGUAGUUCAGUCGAUGUAAUUGUAAUACUGAAGCACUUAGAAUAGUAGGUAUUAUAUUCCAGAAGCACUAAUGUCCCAGUUUGUAACAUUUUAAAAAUCUGUUUGCCAUUAGCACUAAAAUUGUGACACAGUGGAGUACUUUAUUUUGGUAACUGUAUGAACAUGUUUCCAUCAGCUUUUUAUUAUAAUAUCUUUUAUUACAUUAAAGAAACUAAGGCCUUUAUAGCAGUUAAAAUAUUUAUCUCUUCCUCCCACUAGAUUGGAAGCUGUGAGAAGGAAGCUUCUGUAUCCUAUCCAAUCUUACAUCCUGUAGUAUCAGCAAAUUUAUAGUAGGAUCUAAAUGUCAGCUUGGUGAUUUGCCCUUUCAUCUUCAUAAAUGCUUCCAAACCUUGAUAUGUAUUUUUCCUCUUACAUGACGCAAUUUGGUGAAGUUUCCCAGGGAGAAAAUGAAAUUUAUGCUAUGACUAAAUCUCUUACUGUUCUAAUUCACAAUUAAUUUUAUUCCUCUUGGCACACUUACAGGAACAUCCAGGAGGCCAUGGAUUUGUUUCCUGCUCUAUCAUCAAGCCUAGAACAUUAUUGUCUGAUGCAAAGCAAAGAACAAAUAUUGCUGAAUAGGUAAACGAAUGCCAAUUUAGUUGGUUAUUCAGUACAGUCAAUAGUCAGUAAAGGAAACAAAGUUAUGUUUGCCUCUAAUAUCAAAGUGUUCCACUUUAUUACCCAUAAAUUGAAUUUUUCAAAUCAUCAUGAAUGUUGGUUUGUCUAGAGAUCCCCUCAAGCAUGAAGAAGCAGAGAGGUUGUGUGAUUAUUACACAUAAAGAAAAAAAAACUUGUUCAGGAAGUAUGACCAAUUUUUAAAAUUACUGAGGAAUGGUAACUGUCAUACUUUAAUAUGCUUUAACAGAGAAUUAGUCAACACGAUAACAUAAAUGAAAGGGUAGAAAAGUUUUUUUUAUUUUUUUAAUUCAAGGUAAAAGUAUGUGAUUAUUUGACCUAAUGAGCAAAUCAUCACCAUGAACAUUUUUAAUUUUAUUGAGUUUUUAAUAUUAGGAAUUGUGAACUUAUUUAAAUAUAUUAGCUCCAUAAUUCUCACAUAUAUCAUAUGAGGAAAGCAUUUUUAUCACUACUUCUCAGAUAAAGGAACAGGAUUUAGAUUCAGUUCCCAAGGUCAUGGGAAUUAAGUCUCUAGAUGUCCCUAGAAGUAUAUUUCAUAAGGGGUUCCAUUUUCUUUUUUUUUUUCAGUGUUUAGGUGAUUCCAAAUAAUCUUCUCUUCCAAAUUGCCAAACAGAAAUAUGACCUGAUGAAGAGUGAAUUUUUUCUUUUUCUAAUGUAAUAGUAAG
rnacentral:lncRNA from 1 species